rnacentral:rRNA from 1 species
AGCUCCAAUAGCGUAUAUUAAAGUUGUUGCAGUUAAAAAGCUCGUAGUUGGAUCUCUGGGGAGGGCCAGUCGGUCGGCCGCAAGGUCAGUUACUGUCUACCUUCCCCUUUCUUUGCAGAGGCGUUUGUGUGCACUUCGCUGUGUGCGCUCACGUAUUUGCAACGUUUACUUUGAAAAAAUUAGAGUGUUCAAAGCAGGCACGAACGUGGCUUGAAUACAUGAGCAUGGAAUAAUGGAAUAGGACUUCGGCUUUCCUAUUUUGUUGGUUUCUCGGACCGAAGUAAUGAUUAAGAGGGACAAUUGGGGGCAUCCGUAUUUCGUUGUCAGAGGUGAAAUUCUUGGAUUUACGAAAGACGAACAACUGCGAAAGCACUUGCCAAGAGUGUUUUCAUUAAUCAAG